rnacentral:misc_RNA from 1 species
GAAAUGCGAUAAGUAAUGUGAAUUGCAGAAUUCAGUGAAUCAUCGAAUCUUUGAACGCACAUUGCGCCCGCCAGUAUUCUGGCGGGCAUGCCUGUCCGAGCGUCAUUUCAACCAUCAAGCCCCCGGGCUUGUGUUGGGGACCUGCGGCUGCCCGCAGGCCCUGAAAACCAGUGGCGGGCUCGCUGUCACACCGAGCGUAGUAGCAAUCACCUCGCUCAGGGCGUGCUGCGGGUUCCGGCCGUUAAACAGCCUUACAAAACCCAAGGUUGACCUCGGAUCAGGUAGGAAGGCCCGCUGAACUUAGGC